UACGUAGGGAGCGAGCGUUAUCCGGAUUCAUUGGGCGUAAAGAGCGCGUAGGCGGCCUUUCAAGCGGGAUCUCUAAUCCGAGGGCUCAACCCCCGGCCGGAUCCCGAACUGGGAGGCUCGAGUUCGGUAGAGGCAGGCGGAAUUCCCGGUGUAGCGGUGGAAUGCGCAGAUAUCGGGAAGAACACCGAUGGCGAAGGCAGCCUGCUGGGCCGAAACUGACGCUGAGGCGCGAAAGCUAGGGGAGCGAACAGG
rnacentral:rRNA from 2 species